CAUCCCCGCACGAAAGAAAAAAAUAUAGAACAACCCACGUACGCACGUCCCACCGCCCACUCCCCUUCCACAAAUCCAUCUCCCUCGAUCCCGUGGGCAUAUCGCCGCCGGGGCUGGCCACAAUCGUUUCCCAAAGAAAAAACAUCUCCGCUCGCCCCGUCCCAGCCGCCCCCCACACCCCGGAGGAGAGGCAGCGACCGACGGGAUACGACGUCGAUGCUGGUGGCGUGAGGACGGCCCAAGCACCACCACGACGGCAGCUCGCCGCUACGGUGGUAUGUACUGGCGUCCCAUCUCCAACUCCAAGAUAUGGCACUGGCUGCUUGGCGACGGAGGAUCGGCAUCCUGCACCAUGAGAGCAGAUUGGGUGUUGCUAUGCCCGAUUCCAUUGCUGGAUUGCUUGUGCUCUCCACGGCCACUGGAGUGGGUAGCGGGAGGGGAGGAACGCUGUGCGUGGAGUUAUAUAUGAUGGUACUUUUUUGGAUUGUUCAAUCAGCGGACUCUGGUUAUAACUCCUGACAAAUUCUUGAAAUCUUUAAUCAUGAGUAUCAUUUAUCUUUUACACUCUUGUUUUCCUCACUUAUGUCUGUCCAGGAGUAUAGUCGAUCAAUUUGCUUGCUUACAUAUUUUUACGUAGGAAUUUCAGUGUUGCUGGUAUUACAACUUCAUGCUAUGGGGUGGGGAUACAAGUGUGAAAACUUGGAGAUCAAUAAAAGGACAAGUUGUUUAGCAUUUAUCUACCCUCUCGGCAGCGAUGCAUAACAUCGCCCGCAGGUUCUUCAUCUUUGGUGUCUGCGCCAUAUGCUGCUGGAUGGCACAAGAGGUGUUCAAGCGAGUGAAUGACAUGUACGCCGUGGCGGCACAACCCUGUUUCAGGGAGAAAAGGACUGAGGCCCUAUAGGGGGUGGCUUUUUUAUACAGUUUGGAGAAGACCCUUCUGUUACAGAAGGUUAUGAUGGUACAGAGCACUCCGGAAACAUACCAGCCGCCAACAUGAUUUGAUUGUCCAGUAUAUUUGAUGCUGCAAAAUCUGAAAGCUGCAAAUAUACACGGUGAAAUAAAUUAUAUUCCAUGGCCAUUGAAAUCGAUAAUUAUACAGGUUUCAUCUUUUGACUCAAACAUGUAGGGGUUCAAGAAUGUUUUUUUCCUAGAUUAACUAGUACAUAUAUUUUUUGAAAGCAUUAGGUUUUUUGACUGUUAGAAAGUAGAUAUGAAGGAAUAUUUGUGGGUAGUUCAAUGUGUUCCAAUUGUAAGACUAAACUAUAUACCAUCUACAUAUCUUUAUUUAAACAAAUAAAUGCAUUCGGAU